UGCACCCCGUCCCGUUUGGGGUCUGAUUUUGGGGAUGUCACUGAGCCCAGCUCCUGGUUUCCCUGUGGAUGGUGGCACCACCUCUGCCUUCCCUCUCCAUCCUCAAGCUGCUGCUGCUCCAGGAGUGCUCCCUCUGUGGAGCAUUUUCCAUCCAGGAAAAGCUCUCACAGCUGGAUUUCUACACUCCGUCCCUGCCUCUGGAAUUUUCUUCCUGGCCCAGCAAAGCCUGGCAGAGCAGGAAAAACACCCUGGGAGUUGUUGGCUGGAAUCUCGUUCUCCUUGGGCACAUUAAGAGCGGAGUUUAGAAAUUGUGGGGUGUUGUUCAAACAGACCACACACCUCAAAACCUCCAGCUCCCAUCCUCGAACGUUUCCACAUUCCCACACCUUCUUUGGGAAGCCUGGAAUUGUUUCUCCCUGUUUUGUUGCCCCUGUGCCCUUGAAAUAUUCCUAUUUUUCCCCUCCAAUUUUCCUUCACCUGCCCAUCUUUCUUACCUCACUCUUCCCUGGAAUAUUUCCUUGUUUAUUUGAGGUUUUUUUUGGUUUUUUUGUUUUUUUUUUUAAUAGAACUAGAGUUCAAAGUUUUGUUCUAUCACCCAGUUUCUCUCACAAGGAAUUGUAUUUGGGAAUAAUAUUGGAAAAUUAAGGGAUGUGCUGAAACCCGUUUAUUUUUGAGGUGCUUUGCUGGGGUGUUAAGCUGGAUAAAAUUAGAAUUCAUAAUUAUCAGAUUUUUUCCUCUAUUCAAAUGACUCUUAAAGCAGGAAGUGGAAUGAGGGAGACAGGAAUUCCCAGUUUAUCCCGUUCUUCCUAAAAUGCUGGGAUUUAAUAACACAUUCCCAGUUUUACCACUGGGAAGGCAGUGAAAUGCUGGAGACCGACAACACCACGGAUUUUAAUUUUUAUUCCUUCUGCAGGACUGGAAAAUGCAGUCUUUAAACCGCUCCUUCUGGCUGUGAGUAUCUGUGGAAGGUUAUGAAAUGUUGUUAAUUAUGUCACUAAUUCCAGAUGGAACCCAGGACUGUUCGGGCAUGCAGGAACUCAACCCCACAUUUGCAAUUUCCCUGUAAAACACCAGAAACUUGGGAUUCACCUCCAUUCCACGUUGUGUUGGGAUCUUCUCCCAAAGGACUUCCUUUGGCGGAGUUUUGGUGGGGAAUUUUGAGCCCCAAGUGUCCGAACUCAAUAUUUUGAUGGCGUUUCUUGGGCGUAAAUUUUAAUAUUUUGAUGUCGGUUUUGGGCUCUUUCUUGCUGGGUCUUGGCGAUGCUCCCAGGGGUCAGCACACGAACACCUCAAUUCCUGGGGUUUGGAGGAAUUAGGAAAUGCCUGGAGGGCCGUAAUUUGGAAAAUCUCGGGAUUUAUGGGAUUCCAUUAGCACAUAGGGCUGGGUCAGAUCCAUCCUCUUAUCCAGCAAAUCCUCCUCCUCAGGGCUGCUCCAACACCCAGCCCCAGUUCUCCCUGCCCAAAGGUGCUUUGUGCUCCAAAAUCUUGGUCUAAAUCCAAAAGUUUAUGAAAAAUCAGUCCCCCUUCAGGGACUACCUGAAAUAACCAAACUGUUUUUCCAGAAACACCGAAUGCUGGGCGCUCUGUGCUUCAGCAAAGGUUUAAAUGGGAUUAAAAGUGGCGGGAGGCUUUUAAAAAUGGGGAUACAGCAAAAUUUCAUUUAGUCUGAUGUUCUGUUUGAUGCUGAGAGUGGAGAGCUGUAAAUAGUAAUAAAAAGUUCUACUUAAAGCA
rnacentral:lncRNA from 1 species